rnacentral:misc_RNA from 1 species
GAUGAAGAACGCAGCGAAUUGCGAUAUGUAAUGUGAAUUGCAGAAUUCAGUGAAUCAUCGAAUCUUUGAACGCACAUUGCACCUCUCGGUAUUCCGGGAGGUAUGCCUGUUCGAGCGUCAUUUGUACCCUCAAGCUCUGCUUGGUGUUGGGUGUUUGUUCCGCCUCUGUGUGUGAACUCGCCUCAAAACAAUUGGCAGCCGGCGUACUUGUUUCGGAGCGCAGCACAUUUUGCGAUCCAGAUCAACGUACAGCGGCAUCCAAGAAGCCUUAUUUAACGCUCUUGACCUCGGAUCAGGUAGGGAUACCCGCUGAACUUAAGCAUAUCAAUAAGCGGAGGA